AGAGUCAGCCACCAACUCGGAGCCUUCAUAGAAUCGCACCCUGUGGACAACACAGCCCGAGCAGACCCAUGAGGCUCAAACCAAGGCUGCCAUAUCAGGAGACUGUAAUCCAUGCCGCUUCGUAAACACACUGCAUAAGCUGGAGGAACGAGAAACAGGAGGGAGAGGCAGCUCUCAGCCCUCCUGUAUAAAGUUGGCCCCAUCGAGGAAACAGCUUCCAACAGUGUGCCUGAGAUGUACCCCCAAAUCUUCUCCACCUCUUGGAUCCUACUAGGACUGAUGGUCUCACUGCUAGAGCCACCCAGAAGUUAGAAGGUAGCUUGUACAUAGGAAUGAAGGCAAGGACCCAGGUGGACUCUACUAUUCUCUGACUUGAACACUAGCAAGAAUGCAACCAUUGCCACAUGGGAGACGAUGGAAUUUAAGAGGGCGAGGGCACAGGAUUGAGAUGAGUGACUUCA